UCGUUCCGGAAAAGCCAGAAAUAAUAUAUACUAAUCCUAAAUAUAUAAAAGAUUUAAAGUUUACCGUACACAGGAAAGGCAGAGGCAGUCCUUAUUACAUAGACUUUUAUGUUGAAUCACUAACAGGCUGUGGAGACAAUUUGACGGUAAAUCUGAAAAUUUAUGAAUAUAUUGGAGGUAACUAUGUGCCACUCGGUAUACAAGGAAAUUUCACACUGUGUGAUUUCUUGGCAAACGAGCCUUAUUUGGGGAAAAUGUUCAUGAACCAAGUUCAAAAACAAAAUUAUACAUGUCCGUUCAGACCUGGAGUCUACGAAUUCAAUGAUCUGCUUUUCCACUUGGAGGACUUCCCAUUCAAUAUACCUUUUACCUGGUCAUCAAUCACAGUGCGCACAAUGAGUGAACUCAUUGCCCAUCACACUGAUACUAAAGAACCUAUUUUUAGAUAUAAGUUCCACUUUAUUGUUCACCAGAAACCCAAAAACAAGUCCUGAUUUAUCUCAUUCUCACUUCAAUUUAAAUAAAAAAUAAAAAUCUGU